GUCCUUGUGUAGAAAUAUAAGGUCUGGCCUGCCCACUGAAGUAAUUUGAAGGGCCGCGGUAUAUUAACCGUGCGAAGGUAGCAUAGUCAAUAGUCUUUUAAUUGGAGGCUUGAAUGAAUGGUCGGACAUAGGGAAAUCUGUCUUUGACUAGUAAGGGUGAACUUAACUUUUGUGUGAGAAGGCAUUAAUGAGCUAGGGGGACGAUAAGACCCUAUAAAACUUGAUGAUUUUUAUCGAAUUACGCAAGUUAGGUGUAAUGAAAAACUUGAAGAUUAUCGUUAUGCUGGGGCGGCAAGAAUAAAAUCCUAACUGUUCUUUGAAAUGAAAUAAUUAUAAUUAGAGGUUGACCCUGAAAUAUUUAGGUUAGAGGAUAAAGUUACUUUAGGGAUAACAGCGUUAUUUCUCUUGAGAGUUCAUAUCGACAGAGAUAUUUGCGACCUCGAUGUUGAAUUAAAGUUUUUUCCGGGAGUAGAUAUUCGGAUAAUAGGUCUGUUCGACCUUUAAAAUUUU
rnacentral:rRNA from 1 species